AGAGAGGUGUGCAGGAUAUGCACCUCUGGAUGCUUUUAUUGAAGCCAAAUAAUUGCCUCCAGGGUUCUUCAGCCCAGGAGGCCGAACUCAUUGCUUUAACUUGGGCCCUAGAGCUAAGUGAGACUGUGAACAUUUACACUGACUCUCGAUAUGCCUUUUUAACCCUCCAAGUGCAUAAAGCAUUAUAUAAAGAAACAGGCCUGUUAAACUCUGGGGGAAAAGAUAUAAAGUAUCAGCAAGAAAUCUUGCAAUUAUUAGAGGCAGUGUGGAAGCCCCAGAAGAUGGCAGUCACGCACUGCAGAGGACACCAGUGAACUCCUACUACAGUUGCUUUAGGGAACUCCUGAGUGGACUCGGAGGCUCAAAAGGCAGCAUCCACCCCUUACCGGGCAUCAAUCACAGCCCCCUUUCUCCCUCAAGAACCUGAACUUUUACCUACCUAUUCUAAGGGAGAAAAAAACUUUUUCCAAGUGGAAGGGGGACAGGUAAUAAAGGAAGGAUGGAUCCAGGUAUCGGAUGGGAGAAUAGCUGUGCCACAGCUACUUGGAGCAGAGGUUGUACUGGCUGUGCAUUUAACUACCCAUCUAGGUCAGGAAUCACUUGAAAAGUUGUUAGGCCGGUAUUUUUACAUCUCCCAUUUAUCAGCUCUUGCCAAAACAGUAGCGCAGCGAUGUGUUAUCUGCCGACAGCACAAUGCAAGACAGGGUCCAGCCGUUCUGCCAGGUAUACAGACAUAUGGAGCAGCCCCCUUUGAAGAUCUCCAAGUGAACUUCACAGAAAUGCCAAAGCGUGGAGGUGAUUGAGUGUGGAUCAAAGAUUGGAACACAUCCCCCUUGCGACCACGGUGGAAAGGAGCCCAGACCAUCAUCUUGACCACCCCCCCACAGCUGUAAAGGUAGAAGGAAUCCCAGCCUGGAUCCACCAUAGCUGAAUAAAACCUGCAGCCUCUGAAACCUGGGAGGGACCACUGCAAUUUAGGGAUGUGGCCACAGAAUUCUCUCUGGAGGAGUGGCAUUGCCUGGACACUGCACAGUGGAAUUUAUAUAGGGAUGUGAUUUUAGAGAACCACAGAAACCUGGUCUUCCUUGGUAUUGUUGUCCUAAGCCAGACCUGAUCACCUGUCUGGAGCAAGGAAAAAAACCCUUGACUAUGAAGAGACAUGAGAUGAUUGCCAAACCCCCAAAUAUUUUCUUAGUAGUGUCUUGGGGAUUACACAAAACCUCUAAAAGAUCCAACAAUAUGUUUAAAUGAGGUAAAAAAUUAACUUCAGUUGAAUGCAAAAAUUCUUCAUGAUUACAUCUGCCUUCAACUUUGUUAUUGAUUUUGCUAAUUAUAUUAUUUAUUUAUUUAUUUAUUUAU
rnacentral:lncRNA from 1 species